CUUGGAUUAUGGUAGGGUCGCUCAAGGGGUAUCUGCAGUGACAGUUCUGCCUGGGAACAAGCUGGUAAUAAGGUUUCACGGGAGCUCAACAAAGAGAUGAGGAAUAAACGUUCUUCCAUUUAAGAGGGUUACCGAGAUCCCCAAGAUCGUAGAAGAGAAGAAAGUGCAUUUGUUAAUGGAGCCUCUAAGAGGGAUAGGAAUCCAAUCUUUCUGUGCAUGGUGAGGGUCCAGGAGCCAGGAAGAACGUCAGAGAAGAGAUUAAUAAUGAAAACAUCUUGGAGGAACUGACCAGGCAAAGGAGUGACUUCUACUCUGCUGUGCAGUUUCUCCAUACUGUCUUCAAGCACCCUCACAACAGGAAGAGCCAGGAGAGAUGGAU
rnacentral:lncRNA from 1 species